GAGAGGUGCUGGGGUUAAUGUUUCGGACAACGCAACACAGCUGCAGGAAGGGCAAGGCAAGGCUCAGGCCUGGGCUGCUGGCUGAGUGUGGAUUUCUGUGGUACAAAUGACCCUAAACAUACUGGUUUAAACCAAAGGGAAUUUAUUGGCACCUAUAACUAACAUAUUAGGAGUGGAUCUAGGUGCUUAGGGACGUCUUCAGGGAUCUCUGUGUCUCUGUGCCUAAGCUCUGCUUUUCUCUCUGCUGAUUUAAUUGUGGGCAGGCAUGUCUGCAUGGUGGGAAGAUGGCCAUGGGCAGCUCCAGGCUGAAAUCAACCAUCUUAGAAACUAUAGAAGAAAGUACCUCUUCUUUAGUAGUUCCAGCAAAAUGUCUGAGGUCAUUUCUGAUUUGCCUGACCCUUUCCUGAACUAAGCAGAGAGGCCGUGAGAAUGUGAUGGUCUCAUGAAUGGUGGGGCCUCCGGGACAGGAUACUUCUUGGAGCUGGCAGUGGUCUAGUCCCACUAGAUCGUGUAGGCUGGCAGUGGGCAGAGUGGGGCAAAGGAAAACUGGAUGCUGUUACCAGAACAAAGAGAAUAGAGCUAGCUGGGCAGUGGGAAUGACAGAUGUCUACACUAGUUAGUGAACCAGAAGGCAGAGGGAGCACAGGCCAAAUGGCCCCAGAGCCCCCAUUUCUAGGAGACUUGGCUCAAGGAAGGGGAAAUGUUAGGAUUAGGGUAAAUCGAAGAAAUGGGAGUACAUGUGACCUCUAUAGUGACCCAUUCUACCUUGUGAGUGGGUCUUUCAAGACCUUAAACUGAGCAAUAGCUUUACUUCUUUUUUCCUUAAAGCAUCUCCCUCAACUGCAUGCUGUUAUUUGAAAUCUUUUUAAUUACAGACAAUCCUUUAGUCUAGAAAUGGAGAAAAUGGAUUUUAGUGCAAAUAUACCGAGAAAGGCAAGACAGAGAUAGGAGUAAGUUGCAGCCAAAGUGGAAAUGAAAAUAUCAUACCAUUUCCUAUUUUAAUAAGGAAAAAUAAUGAAAAAAGAAGCAGGGAAAGAGGAUGCCAUUUAAAGAGGAAAGAAAGAAAUUUAAAUGAUUAAGGACAGAAGAUAAAGUAAAAACUGACUCUCCACAUUUGUCAAUCUUAACCCACAGAUAGUGACCCCAAGACUCACUUUCGUGGAAAUUUUAUUAUAUAGCAUAUUUUUACUAUUGAUUUUUUUACUUUGCUUUUAAAGCUUAUUAAUUUACUGAAAGAAAAUCAAACUUUCCAUACUAAUAUAUUCUCUUGGUUGACAAGUCUCAGUAGCCUGGACAAUCUUAGCCCACAGAGGUCAUAAUUCAAGCUAGAGAAAAGAAUGCAAGACAAAACAUGCUACAGGAGAAGUUACUUGGCUUUCAGCCAUAUCAAGAGCCUUGGCAUUUCUUAAUAAAGUUAAACUGUUUUCCCCCCCUUUUUCUGAUGUAAUCUGUGUUUUGCUAAAUAGGACUUCAACUGUCCUGAACUUUAUUAUAGAAAAAUAAAAUAGUCCAAGCUCUGGCAUCUCUCUAAGGCUCUUCAGUUGCAGAAAUUCAGGUUUAUUCAACAUUUAAAAGACACUGAAAAACGGCACAUUGUGCCCCCCUCAGUAUGACACCAUCUUAACUGUACUUUCCGUGAAUGAAUGAGUGUUUGGGAGGCCGACCCUCCUGGUGACCUGGCUCCAGACCUGAACACAAGACCCAGAACACUGACUUUAAGAUAUUCUGAAGGUUUCCCCAUGGGAGCCAGUAAUGUGAGGGCCACAAAAGUGACAUUCCAUUCACAAGUUUUUAUGAUACUCACUCUUUGACAUGAUAAAUAUGUUAAACAACAUAGUGUGGAUCAGACAAUAUUCCAAAAACACCUAUAAAGAGAACCAACACCAGAAAAGUUAACUGCCCCGUGCUUCUAUAGGAAGUGGUGAUAUUAUGGUCAUUUCUGGACCACUUGGCAGUAACAUCACAAGUAGAAUGACAGGACAAUGUCAGGAAUGGUAGAGAUGGAAUAAUGUAAAGAAAAAGCCAAGACACCUUCUCAUUUCUUUCAUAAAACAUACUGAAAUCUGUAACAAUAACUUUUUAUUUAAUUCCCAGUUCUUAACUGGGGCACAAAAGGGAAGUUCUUACUGUAUAUCUGGGAAUCAGAGAAUGACAGCUAAGGGUGCUGGUUGUAAGCACAGAUAAAAACUGAACACUGCAUUCAACUUGGGCUUUCCUCACCGAAUUCAUGGCUUUAAUUUUCAUUCCCAGUUGCUAUAUAACAAGUGAGCACAGGCAGGAUAGAAAUCAAAUCACUCUCUGGUGAUACAUUAAGGGAAGUCAAAUCUCCAACCCCAUGGCCUAACACACAAUUGCCCUUGUUUUUAGCUUCCUAUUUUUCAGAUACUCUCCAAAUCCCGCAGCCUUAUCAGUAACAAUUAUCUGUGUCUCUGAAGCUAAGCAAGGCUUAAAACGGAAAAGGCUCCUCUUUAAGCUGAUUCUGGACAAUAGCAAAGGCUGUCGCUGGCUGCGCUGGCUCCACGGGACCCCACCCAGGUUCAGUCCACUGGAUGCAAAGACUCUUGCUGGGUGGGCCCCUUUCUUGAACCACUUCACUGCCUUUUGCCCCCAAGGAAAAACAGUGAGAAGAAUGAGGUUAGAGGCUCUAGGCUUGAGACUGUGAAGUGUUUGACAUCAGGUGGGGCUGGGCAGGACCACACCUUCCCACAUGAAUGGGCCAAGGGCCAUGUUUGCACAAGCUUAGCUAUCCUUCCCCUCCCAGUAUCACCACUGGCAGUUCCCGCCAUCCUCUGUUAAUAAAUCAAAGCAUAAAACGCUUCUCUAGUCAUGGACUAUGUCAGGUGACCUGGAGUGGGAAUUAACCCAAACAAUUCCUUAAACUGACCUGCUAUUCUGGCUUUUUUACACAAUAAAAUAGAAAACUUGCACACUGUGUGUAAUUCCACCGCCUUCAGUUAACUGCCUCUCUGGUAGCUGAAAUGCUGGAAGGUGAAAUCUCCCUGGCCGUGUUGCAUUGGGAGCCAGUGCUUUGAGGUGAUAAAGGGUUACCAUUUAUUGCCGGGUACUGGACACUCGGUAUGCCUCAUUUCAUCUUCACAGUAUCUCUGCAAGGAAGAAGUUUUUUGGAAUUCCCUGGACAUUAUCUGGAAUGAAGAUGAUGUCCUACCACUGCAGUGCUGUGUGAGCAGCUAAGAUCAUCUGACCCCUGCCCCAUGUCCAUCCCCAGAGACUCUGACCAGAGACCCUGAAGCUGCCUUCCCCUGGAAAUUCUCAGCACAAUCAGCUGGCUGGUCCGGGCAUCAUGAACCAAGUGUCCUUUCAAGCUGUAAAAUGCUACAUUUCUAACUUUUCAGAUGUUAACAUUGUAUUUUGAAAAACAUAUCCACCAAAGUGAAGUUGUCAGUGUGUUGACCGCAGUGGCUGACUCUGCCAUCCAGCCCAUGCCAGGAGGCACGUCAGUGGUGGGUACAUCCGGGGUGGAAGUGUGUAGACCUAGGCCAGACUGUAGGGCCCAAACACUGGCUCCUACACACCCUGGGCAUGUGACUAGCCAUGGGCCCUCUUCUCAGUAAAAUAAGGAUUUUACGUACUUACCUCACAGGGUUGUUGUGAGGAUGCAUGAGUUAAUUUGUGUCAAGCCCUUAGAACACAGCCUGGCAUCUGGUAAGUGUUGUAGUUAAGCAUUAGUCAGGGAUGUAUUACUUUCAUAAUUAUUUAUGUGCAGUAUGUGAAAUUACAGAAGGCACUUUUUGGGGUUACAAAUGCAUAGGAGUAUACUUGCAAGUGUGUAUUUAUAUUUUAUGUUAUAUUGAUUAUAUAUGUAACAGUUUAUAUUAUAAAUAUUUGUAUUGCAUUAUAUAUUAUACAUAUCAUACAUUAUAUAAAUAUUCAGAUAUAACAUAUCAAAUAUAUUAUACAUAUUUAUGCAUAUAUAUUUAAAUUAACAAUCAAUCUUUUUUUUAAUCCUGGAAGUGCAACUUCUCAAAAAAUGCAAGUUCUCUUCCUUUCCCUUUGUGACUACAUGCCACCACUUUCUUGUCUUCCCUGACCUUUACCCUUUGCCUGUACAAUAUUUCUCUUCCACCAUCACACCUUACUUAAUUCUACUUCAGGAAAUAUCCUUCUUAUACUUAGUUACGAAUCCCCUGAACAUUAUUCUUCCCUUCUCUCACACUCCCAUGUUUAUUUUAUUUGUACUCACUCAGGUGGUUUGGGAAGUGACUGAGGAAACGUAAAGCCAUGCUGUUGAUGUACCACAUCAAAAUGAAGGGGGUGAGCUGCAAAAGAAGACUGUCCAUGGCUGGAUACAGGGGCCCAGGUUCCUUCUGGUUUCAAGGUUUUAGGUCUGCUGUUUUGGAUUUCGGUUCAUAUUUUACCACCAUUUAUCUUCAACCUUGUAUGGGUUAAGCACUAGACUAGAGCUUGUAGAUGGAUUAUCCCUUAAUCCUUACAACAAUUCCUCAAAGACAGGUAUUACUCCCACCUUACAGAUAAAUAAAAUAAAGAAAGGUAAAUAACUUAUUCAAGGCCACAUAACUAGAAAGUAGAGGGCUACAGUUAGAACCCAUAUAUUCUUACUCCGAGCUCUGUCCUCUUCCCACUACUCAUAAGCCUUCCCUCACAAAACAGUAGAAGUAAUCAUAAUGAUUAGAUUCCACCAAUAAUAUCAUGCCCUUGAAGUUGUGUACAUGUCCCAUUCAGAAUUCCAUAGAAACUUCUACAUAGCUCCGACUAAGCCAGCUUUUUCCCCAGUACUCAUUCCAUCCAUCCAUCCAUCCAUCCAUCCAUCCAACCAUCCAUCCAUCCAUUUAUCUAUUUAUCCAAUCACAUAUGCAUCUACCCAAUCAACCAUCCAUCCAUCCCUCCCUCUAUCCAUUUAUCUAUUCAUCCAAACACACAUUCAUCCAUACAUCCACCCACCAAUCCAUCCAUCCAUUUUUCUAUUCAUUCAAUCACACAUCCAUCCAUCCAUCCAUCCAUCCAUCCAUCCAUCCAUCCAUCCAUCCAUCCAUCCAUCCAUCCAUCCAUCUAUCCACCAAUCCUCCAUCCCCCAUUCAUUUAUUAAUAAUUUGCUCUGUUUUAGGCAUUGUAACACAUUCCCAUGAAAUCCCUAUCUUUCAGGAGUUCUCAGUCCAGGGUAGGGGAUAAUAUGUAAACAAAAAACUACAGCAUAAUGUGGUAAAUGUUAAUAGAAGCAGUACAUACAAAGUAUUAUAGAAAUGCAGGAGCAGUGUAGAGGGAAUUUCUAAUUUUCCUUAGGGGAGAAAUUUUAAACUGUGGUCCUUGGCACCUUAGAAAGUCAGUGGAGGAAGCACUUAAAGUUGUGUAUAAAAUUUUCUCAGGGGGGGUUUAUAGCCAAGGGAGCAGAGAGGUGGGAGUUUGGCUAAGGCAUAGCAGGGGAGUUUUAACUGUUAUUAUUUGUGCUGAUCAAGAGUUUGCCAAGAAUCAGAAGGGGAGGAAGACAUUCCAGGCAAAAGAAACCACAAGUGGAAAAGUACAUGCAAAUGAUUUGCUAGGAUUCCAACUCAGAGUACCAUCUGAGGGAGUAGCAGGAAACGAAACACCUCGGAUUGAUGGUUAGGGUUCAGAUAAAGAAAGGAAUGGCGUGCAAGGCCAAGAAUUAAUUCUCAAAGAUAUAAAAAAUGAUCUCCAAUCCACAUAUAAAUCAAGUUUAAAAAUCAAAUGAAUAUUCAUAUUUGAACUGACUGUUUAUAGUUCAUAAUGCAUGAACAAAACCGAAAGCUUCUGUGAUGACUGCCCUUGUAAUGUUCACCAUGUAACUUAUUCACUAUGUAAGAAUUUGUACUCCAUGUAAGAACUUGUUCGUUAUGCAUCAGAAGAUUGGAGACUGACGAAAAUUAGGCUUGGGGUGGAUUAAUGAUUGUGCAUUGAGUAUUGACCCCCCUAUACAGAAUUUUAUUGUUGUUAACAACCAUUUGAUCAAUAAAUAUGAGAGAUGCCCUCACACACACACACACAAAAUAUAUAUAUAUAUAUAUAUAUAUAUAUAUAAACAGACUUCCAAUUGUAAAAUAAAUAAGUAACCGGGAUGUAAUGUAUAGCAUAAGGAAUAUAGUCAAAAUAUUGUAACAACUUGGUAUGGUGAUAGCUGGGACCUAGAAUUAUCAUGUAUAUAAAUGUUGAAUCACUGUGUUGUACAUCUGAAACUAAUG